rnacentral:rRNA from 1 species
UACGAAGGGGGCUAGCGUUGCUCGGAAUUACUGGGCGUAAAGGGCGCGUAGGCGGACAGUUUAGUCAGAGGUGAAAGCCCAGGGCUCAACCUUGGAAUUGCCUUUGAUACUGGCUGUCUUGAGUUCGGGAGAGGUGAGUGGAAUGCCGAGUGUAGAGGUGAAAUUCGUAGAUAUUCGGCGGAACACCAGUGGCGAAGGCGACUCACUGGCCCGAUACUGACGCUGAGGCGCGAAAAGCGUGGGG